UAAUACGUAGGGUGCGAGCGUUAAUCGGAAUUACUGGGCGUAAAGCGUGCGCAGGCGGUUCGUUAAGUUCGAUGUGAAAGCCCCGGGCUCAACCUGGGAACUGCAUUGGAAACUGGCGAGCUUGAAUGCGGCAGAGGGGGGUGGAAUUCCGCGUGUAGCAGUGAAAUGCGUAGAGAUGCGGAGGA
rnacentral:rRNA from 1 species